AUUGAACGCUGGCGGCAGGCCUAACACAUGCAAGUCGAACGAGUGGCGGACGGGUGAGUAAUGUCUGGGAAACUGACUGAUGGAGGGGGAUAACUACUGGAAACGGUAGCUAAUAGCGCAUACCAUCGGAUGUGCACAGAGGGGAGUAGCUAGUAGGUGGGGUAACGGCUCACCUAGGCGACGAUCCCUAGUUGGUCUGAGAGGAUGACCAGCCACACUGGAACUAGGACACGGUCCAGACUCCUACGUGAGGCAGCAGUGGGGAAUAUUGCACAAUGGGCGCAAGCCUGAUGCAGCCAUGCCGCGUGUAUGAAGAAGGCCUUCGGGUUGUAAAGUACUUUCAGCGGGGAGGCGUUACCCGCAGAAGAAGCACCGGCUAACUCCGUGCCAGCAGCCGCGGUAAUUC
rnacentral:rRNA from 1 species